rnacentral:ncRNA from 1 species
AUACAGUUUUGGUCCUAAACUUGCCGUUGUUUUUUACCAGAAUUAUACAUGCAAGUCUCCGCACUCCAGUGCAAACGCCCACUAAUCACCUAAACAGACAACCGGAGCAGGUAUCAGGCACACCAAAAGUCAAGCCAACGACACCAGGCUUCGCCACACCCACACGGGUAAUCAGCAGUAAUUAAUAUUAAGCAAUAGGCGAUAAAGCCUGACUUAGUCACGGUAUAUUUAGGGUUGGUUAAUUUCGUGCCAGCCACCGCGGUUAUACGAAAAGCCCAAAACAACGGCCUUCGGCGUAAAGCGUGGCAAGAAAAUUUGCCAAAGAUUAGUGGAAAACUUAACCGAAGCUGUAAAACGCCACGGUAUUAUAAGAACAACAACUAUGCCACUAAAACACUAGGCUACUCGAACCCACGAAAGCUAAGAAACAAAMUGGGAUUAGAUACCCCACUAUGCUUAGCCAUUAACACAGACAGCUUAAAACAACAACGCUGCCCGCCAGAGAACUACAAGCGAAAAACUAGAAACUCUAAGGACUUGGCGGUGCUCCACACCUACCUAGAGGAGCCUGUCCUAUAAUCGAUACCCCACGUUAAACCCUACCGCCCCUAGCAAAACCAACCUAUAUACCGCCGUCGCCAGCCUACCUUAUGAAAGAACAAUAGUAAGCAAAACAGUAAGCACUAAUACGUCAGGUCAAGGUGUAGUAAAUGAGGCGGAAGAGAUGGGCUACAUUUACUAAAAUAGUAAAACACGAACAGCAAGAUGAAAUACUUGCCAGAAGGAGGAUUUAGCAGUAAGACAAAAAAACUUUUUUAUCUUAAGACAGCUCUGGAGCGCGCACACACCGC